GACGAACGCUGGCGGCGUGCUUAACACAUGCAAGUCGAACGGAAAGGCCCCCAUCUUGGUGGGGGUGCUCGAGUGGCGAACGGGUGAGUAACACGUGGGUGAUCUGCCCUGUACUUCGGGAUAAGCUUGGGAAACUGGGUCUAAUACCGGAUAGGACCAUGGUUUAGUGUCUCAUGGUGGAAAGAUUAUUGUUUUGGUGCAGGAUGAGCUCGCGGCCUAUCAGCUUGUUGGUGGGGUAAUGGCCUACCAAGGCGUCGACGGGUAGCCGGCCUGAGAGGGUGGACGGCCACAUUGGGACUGAGAUACGGCCCAGACUCCUACGGGAGGCAGCAGUGGGGAAUAGUGCACAAUGGGCGCAAGCCUGAGGCAGCGACGCCGCGUGGGGGAUGACGGCCUUCGGGUUGUAAACUCCUUUCGUUAGGGACGAAGCCACGCUUUUGGGGUGUGGUGACGGUACCUUUGUUAAGAAGCACCGGCUAACUACGUG
rnacentral:rRNA from 1 species